rnacentral:tRNA from 1 species
GCCUUUGUGGCAUAACAGUUAAGCACUCAGCUGCUAAUUGAAACGUCUGUGGUUCGAACCCACCCAGCAGCU